rnacentral:rRNA from 1 species
UACGUAGGGGGCUCGCGUUGUCCGGAAUCAUUGGGCGUAAAGAGCGCGUAGGCGGCCAGAUAAGUCCGGUGUGAAAGUCACAGGCUCAACCUGUGAAUGCCGCUGGAAACUGUCUGGCUAGAGUCCGGAAGAGGCGAGUGGAAUUCCUGGUGUAGCGGUGGAAUGCGCAGAUAUCAGGAGGAACACCAACGGCGAAGGCAGCUCGCUGGGACGGUACUGACGCUGAUGCGCGAAAGCCAGGGAGCGAACGGG